rnacentral:lncRNA from 1 species
CAAUUUUUACGCAAACACAAAAGUUAAAACUAAACAAACGCACAAAUGAAUCGACCAAACUUUUCAUUUCGUUCCUUUUCUUCUGAACAGUCGUCAGCAACCAGAAGUUAGUGUUAGUGUUAUGUACCAAUUUGACCACCACAAGAGGUUGAGUGACCAAAUUGCGAGCUCAAGAUACGGAGUCAUGGUGGCUAAAUCUCCCAGCAAGCUGCUUGGUACCCAACCAGAUCAAGAUUAUACAGGGCUCAUGCUCCCUCGGUCAAUGGAUGAUUUUCUCGUUCAGGUGAGAAAGAGCAGCUCUAGCUAGGUCGAUCUGAUCAUUUCUAAACAAAGAGAACGAACAAAAAUUCAUCUCUCUCUCCCCUUUCCAUGACUGGUAUCCGGCCGGUAACAUGCUUGUUCAGUUCAUUUCCAUCAAAAGAGAGUAGCAUGGAGAAGCCAUGAAUGAGGAUUCGAAUCCAAUCCAAUUACAUGGAAAGAAAGCGAAACCCAUCCUGAUUCCUGACCAUUGCUCCCGAGGACAACCGAUGAUACCUCCAUUAAUAUUCUUGUAAGCCAUUUCCAUGGAAUGGGGGCAAGUCCCUUCUUAAUGUUUAGAGGGAAAAAAUUAAAAUUUGAUGACAGUUUUAUUUUGCUUCUAGUAUUCAAAACCGACCAUAUCACUUCCUUCUAACUUAUUCUCUGCUUUCUGUUUCCG